rnacentral:rRNA from 1 species
GUAGGGAAUAUUGGGCAAUGGAGGUAACUCUGACCCAGCCAUGCCGCGUGCAGGAUGACGGCCCUCUGGGUUGUAAACUGCUUUUAUACGGGAAGAAAAAAUACUACGUGUAGUAUACUGACGGUACCGUAAGAAUAAGGAUCGGCUAACUCCGUGCCAGCAGCCGCGGUAAUACGGAGGAUCCAAGCGUUGUCCGGAUUUAUUGGGUUUAAAGGGUGCGUAGGCGGAUCUUUAAGUCAGUGGUGAAAGCCUGCAGCUUAACUGUAGAAUUGCCAUUGAAACUGAAGAUCUUGAAUGUGGUUAAAGUAGGCGGAAUGUAUCAUGUAGCGGUGAAAUGCUUAGAUAUGAUACAGAACACCGAUAGCGAAGGCAGCUUGCUGAACCAUUAUUGACGCUGAGGCACGAAAGCGUGGGGAGCGAACAGGAUUAGAAACCCUAGUAGUCC